rnacentral:rRNA from 1 species
AGAGUUUGAUCCUGGCUCAGGAUGAACGCUGGCGGCGUGCCUAACACAUGCAAGUCGAGCGAUUUACUUCGGUAAAGAGCGGCGGACGGGUGAGUAACGCGUGGGUAACCUGCCCUAUACACACGGAUAACAUACCGAAAGGUAUGCUAAUACGAGAUAACAUAAGAGAUUCGCAUGGAUUUCUUAUCAAAGCUUUUGCGGUAUAGGAUGGACCCGCGUCUGAUUAGCUAGUUGGUAAGGUAACGGCUUACCAAGGCGACGAUCAGUAGCCGACCUGAGAGGGUGAUCGGCCACAUUGGAACUGAGACACGGUCCAAACUCCUACGGGAGGCAGCAGUGGGGAAUAUUGCACAAUGGGCGAAAGCCUGAUGCAGCAACGCCGCGUGAGCGAUGAAGGCCUUCGGGUCGUAAAGCUCUGUCCUCAAGGAAGAUAAUGACGGUACUUGAGGAGGAAGCCCCGGCUAACUACGUGCCAGCAGCCGCGGUAAUACGUAGGGGGCUAGCGUUAUCCGGAAUUACUGGGCGUAAAGGGUGCGUAGGUGGUUUCUUAAGUCAGAGGUGAAAGGCUACGGCUCAACCGUAGUAAGCCUUUGAAACUGAGAAACUUGAGUGCAGGAGAGGAGAGUAGAAUUCCUAGUGUAGCGGUGAAAUGCGUAGAUAUUAGGAGGAAUACCAGUUGCGAAGGCGGCUCUCUGGACUGUAACUGACACUGAGGCACGAAAGCGUGGGGAGCAAACAGGAUUAGAUACCCUGGUAGUCCACGCCGUAAACGAUGAGUACUAGCUGUCGGAGGUUACCCCCUUCGGUGGCGCAGCUAACGCAUUAAGUACUCCGCCUGGGAAGUACGCUCGCAAGAGUGAAACUCAAAGGAAUUGACGGGGACCCGCACAAGUAGCGGAGCAUGAGGUUUAAUUCGAAGCAACGCGAAGAACCUUACCUAAGCUUGACAUCUUCUGCAUUACCCUUAAUCGGGGAAGUUCCUUCGGGGACAGAAUGACAGGUGGUGCAUGGUUGUCGUCAGCUCGUGUCGUGAGAUGUUGGGUUGAGUCCCGCAACGAGCGCAACCCUUAUUGUUAGUUGCUACCAUUUAGAUGAGCACUCAUGCGAUACUGCCUGCGAUGAGCAGGAGGAAGGUGGGGAUGACGUCAAGUCAUCAUGCCCCUUAUACGCUGGGCUACACACGUGCUACAAUGGGCAGUACAGAGAGUUGCCAACCCGCGAGGGUGAGCUAAUCUCUUAAAGCUGUUCUUAGUUCGGAUUGUACUCUGCAACUCGAGUACAUGAAGUUGGAAUCGCUAGUAAUCGCAAAUCAGCAUGUUGCGGUGAAUACGUUCUCGGGUCUUGUACACACCGCCCGUCA